GGGCCCGUGGCGUAGUCUGGGAGCGCACCGGCCUUUUAAGCCGGCAGUCGUGGGUUCAAAUCCCGCCGGGCCCG
rnacentral:tRNA from 2 species